rnacentral:rRNA from 1 species
UGGAUGGCGAGUUUGAUCCUGGCUCAGGAUAAACGCUGGCGGCGUGCCUAACACAUGCAAGUCGAACGCGCUCCCCUCCUUCGGGAAGGGAGCGAGUGGCGGACGGGUGAGUAAGACGUGGGUCACCUACCUUUCAGUGAGGGAUACCGGCGAGAAAUCGCCGACAAUCCCGCAUGGGCUUGGCGCUCUGGAACGAGCGCCAAGCAAAGCUCUGCAAAGGGCGCUGGGAGAUGGGCCCGCGGCCGAUUAGCUGGUUGGUGGGGUAAGAGCUCACCAAGGCGACGAUCGGUAGCUGGUCUGAGAGGACGAUCAGCCACACUGGGAUUGAGA